rnacentral:rRNA from 1 species
UACAGAGGUCUCAACCGUUGUUCGGAUUCAUUGGGCGUAAAGGGUGCGUAGGCGGUCGGGUAAGUCGGAUGUGAAAUCUCAGGGCUCAACCCUGAAACUGCAUUCGAUACUGCUUGGCUAGGGUACUGGAGAGGAGACUGGAAUUUACGGUGUAGCAGUGAAAUGCGUAGAUAUCGUAAGGAAGACCAGUGGCGAAGGCGGGUCUCUGGACAGUUCCUGACGCUGAGGCACGAAGGUCAGGGGAGCAAACGGG